CCUACGGGUGGCAGCAGUGGGGAAUAUUGGACAAUGGGGGGAACCCUGAUCCAGCCAUGCCGCGUGUGUGAAGAAGGCCCUCGGGUUGUAAAGCACGUUCAGUUAGGAAGAACGCCUGGUGGUUAAUACCCAUCAGGAAAGACAUCACUCACAGAAGAAGCACCGGCUAACUCCGUGCCAGCAGCCGCGGUAAUACGGAGGGUGCGAGCGUUAAUCGGAAUUACUGGGCGUAAAGCGCGCGUAGGUGGCUUGAUAAGCCGGUUGUGAAAGCCCCGGGCUCAACCUGGGAACGGCAUCCGGAACUGUCAAGCUAGAGUGCAGGAGAGGAAGGUAGAAUUCCCGGUGUAGCGGUGAAAUGCGUAGAGAUCGGGAGGAAUACCAGUGGCGAAGGCGGCCUUCUGGACUGACACUGACACUGAGGUGCGAAAGCGUGGGUAGCAAACAGGAUUAGAUACCCGAGUAGUC
rnacentral:rRNA from 1 species